CCUACGGGGAGCAGCAGUGGGGAAUAUUGGGCAAUGGGCGCAAGCCUGACCCAGCAACGCCGCGUGAAGGAAGAAGGCUUUCGGGUUGUAAACUUCUUUUAAGAGGGAAGAGCAGAAGACGGUACCUCUUGAAUAAGCCACGGCUAACUACGUGCCAGCAGCCGAGGUAAUACGUAGGUGGCAAGCGUUGUCCGGAUUUACUGGGUGUAAAGGUCGUAUAGGCGGGAGAGCAAGUCAGACGUGAAAUUCCAGGCCUCAACCCUGGAACUGCGUUUGAAACUGUUCUUCUUGAGGGAUGGAGAGGCAGGCGGAAUGCCGGGUGUAGCGGGGAAAUGCGUAGAUAUACGGAGGAACACCGGUGGCGAAGGCGGCCUGCUGGACAUUAACUGACGCUGAGGCGCGAAAGCGUGGGGAGCAAACAGGAUUAGAUACCCCUGUAGUC
rnacentral:rRNA from 1 species